rnacentral:rRNA from 1 species
GAUGAACGUUGGCGGCGUGCCUAAUACAUGCAAGUCGAACGAAGACUGUAGUAAUACUGUCUUAGUGGCGAACGGGUGAGUAACGCGUGGGUGACCUGCCCCGAAGUGUGGGAUAACAGUCCGAAAGGAUUGCUAAUACUGCAUAAUAUCCAAGAGAUUAGAUGCUUUUGGAUUAAAGGAGUAAUUCGCUUCGGGAGGGGCCCGCGUCCCAUCAGCUAGUUGGUAAGGUAAUGGCUUACCAAGGCGAUGACGGGUAGGGGACCUGAGAGGGUGGCCCCCCACAAUGGAACUGAAACACGGUCCAUACACCUACGGGUGGCAGCAGUAGGGAAUAUUGGUAAUGCGCGAAAGCGUGAACCAGCAACGCCGCGUGUGCGAUGAAGGCCUUCGGGUUGUAAAGCACUUUUCGGGAGGAAGAGGAAGGACUGUACUCCCAGAAUAAGCCUCGGCUAACUACGUGCCAGCAGCCGCGGUAAGCUCGUCUCUA